AUAGGGGAGCCGCAGGGAAACCGAGUCUUAACUGGGCGUUAAGUUGCAGGGUAUAGACCCGAAACCCGGUGAUCUAGCCAUGGGCAGGUUGAAGGUUGGGUAACACUAACUGGAGGACCGAACCGACUAAUGUUGAAAAAUUAGCGGAUGACCUGUGGCUGGGGGUGAAAGGCCAAUCAAACCGGGAGAUAGCUGGUUCUCCCCGAAAGCUAUUUAGGUAGCGCCUCGUGAACUCAUCUCCGGGGGUAGAGCACUGUUUCGGCUAGGGGGCCAUCCCGGCUUACCAACCCGAUGCAAACUGCGAAUACCGGAGAAUGUUAUCACGGGAGACACACGGCGGGUGCUAACGUCCGUCGUGAAGAGGGAAACAACCCAGACCGCCAGCUAAGGUCCCAAAGUCAUGGUUAAGUGGGAAACGAUGUGGGAAGGCCCAGACAGCCAGGAUGUUGGCUUAGAAGCAGCCAUCAUUUAAAGAAAGCGUAAUAGCUCACUGGUCGAGUCGGCCUGCGCGGAAGAUGUAACGGGGCUAAACCAUGCACCGAAGCUGCGGCAGCGACGCUUAUGCGUUGUUGGGUAGGGGAGCGUUCUGUAAGCCGUCGAAGGUGUGCUGUGAGGCAUGCUGGAGGUAUCAGAAGUGCGAAUGCUGACAUAAGUAACGAUAAACAAGGUGAAAAACCUUGUCGCCGGAAGACCAAGGGUUCCUGUUCAACGUUAAUCGGAGCAGGGUGAGUCGACCCCUAAGGCGAGGCCGAAAGGCGUAGUCGAUGGGAAACAGGUUAAUAUUCCUGUACUUGGUGUUACUGCGAAGGGGGGACGGAGAAGGCUAUAUCGGCCGGGCGACGGUUGUCCCGGUUUAAGCGUGUAGGUGUGUGUUCCAGGCAAAUCCGGUUCACUUUACACUGAGGCGUGACGACGAGGCACUACGGUGCUGAAGUGAUAAAUGCCCUGCUUCCAGGAAAAGCCUCUAAGCAUCAGGUAACACAAAAUCGUACCCCAAACCGACACAGGUGGUCAGGUAGAGAAUACCAAGGCGCUUGAGAGAACUCGGGUGAAGGAACUAGGCAAAAUGGUGCCGUAACUUCGGGAGAAGGCACGCUGGCGCGUAGGUGAAGGGACUUGCUCCCGGAGCCGAAGCCAGUCGAAGAUACCAGCUGGCUGCAACUGUUUAUUAAAAACACAGCACUGUGCAAACACGAAAGUGGACGUAUACGGUGUGACGCCUGCCCGGUGCCGGAAGGUUAAUUGAUGGGGUUAUCCGCAAGGAGAAGCUCUUGAUCGAAGCCCCGGUAAACGGCGGCCGUAACUAUAACGGUCCUAAGGUAGCGAAAUUCCUUGUCGGGUAAGUUCCGACCUGCACGAAUGGCGUAAUGAUGGCCAGGCUGUCUCCACCCGAGACUCAGUGAAAUUGAAAUCGCUGUGAAGAUGCAGUGUACCCGCGGCAAGACGGAAAGACCCCGUGAACCUUUACUACAGCUUGACACUGAACACUGAGCCUUGAUGUGUAGGAUAGGUGGGAGGCUUUGAAGCGUGGACGCCAGUCUGCGUGGAGCCGGCCUUGAAAUACCACCCUUUAAUGUUUGGUGUUCUAACGUAGGCCCGUGAUCCGGGCUGCGGACAGUGUCUGGUGGGUAGUUUGACUGGGGCGGUCUCCUCCCAAAGCGUAACGGAGGAGCACGAAGGUUGGCUAAUCCUGGUCGGACAUCAGGAGGUUAGUGCAAUGGCAUAAGCCAGCUUGACUGCGAGAGUGACGGCUCGAGCAGGUGCGAAAGCAGGUCAUAGUGAUCCGGUGGUUCUGAAUGGAAGGGCCAUCGCUCAACGGAUAAAAGGUACUCCGGGGAUAACAGGCUGAUACCGCCCAAGAGUUCAUAUCGACGGCGGUGUUUGGCACCUCGAUGUCGGCUCAUCACAUCCUGGGGCUGAAGUAGGUCCCAAGGGUACGGCUGUUCGCCGUUUAAAGUGGUACGCGAGCUGGGUUUAGAACGUCGUGAGACAGUUCGGUCCCUAUCUGCCGUGGGCGCUGGAGAAUUGAGGGGGGUUGCUCCUAGUACGAGAGGACCGGAGUGAACGCACCGCUGGUGUCCGGGUUGUCACGCCAGUGGCACUGCCCGGUAGCUAAGUGCGGAAAAGAUAAGUGCUGAAAGCAUCUAAGCACGAAACUUGCCCCGAGAUGAGUUCUCCCUGAGCCUUUAAGGCUCCUGAAGGGACGUUGAAGACGACGACGUUGAUAGGCCGGGUGUGUAAGCGCAGCGAUGCGUUGAGCUUACCGGUACUAAUGACCCGUGAGGCUUAACCUUACAACGCCAGAGGCGUUUUGGU
rnacentral:rRNA from 1 species